ACUGAAGAGGUUUUUUUCGAAAUUGAGAUAGCGAUUGAUUUAGAUAGUAGAUAGCAUCAAAGUUAGUUCCUAAAAAUUUGAGAUUUUAGAAAAGCGUAUUUAUAUUAGAAAAAGUAAUUUGAAAGUGUAAAAAAUAACGAGAUUUGAAAAUUAGCUUCAAUGGCCGAAACCGGAAGUGACGUAUUGUAAUGGACUGAGAAAAUGUAAAUAAAAAUAGACAUGGCUGGAUACGUUAUUGAUAGCGAUUCAGAUGAUAAACUUAUCUAAAUCUAGCUGUCCAACAAUUUUAAAUGAUACUUAUCAUGGGAUGCACCAAAAUGCCCUGAAGAGAACUCUUCUACUUUUUCAAAAUAUAUUCUAGAGCAGACUAUUGAAUUAAUAUAAUUAUAGAUAGAUUAUAAUAGGACUAGUCACUAGUUUUGUCAGUUUUGAUCUAUUUUUUCUAUCUAGAUCUAUAGAUCUAGUCUACUCUACUCUCUAGCUAGUAGUAGUCUCUAGUAUCAUCAAGUACUAGUAGAUCAUCUAGGACUAGGUCUAGAAAACAUAUAUGACAUGUGGCAUACAGACAAGUUUACUAGAUGGAUCUUUCAUCAUUUUGGAAAUACAAUAUUUCCUGUGAAACAAAUCACAGAAACAUUCUACAAUUUUAUUUUAUAUAAUAAAUACCAAUAAAUGUAAAUACAAAAUCA